AAGAUUAAGCCAUGCAUGUCUAAGUAUAAACAAAUUCAUACUGUGAAACUGCGAAUGGCUCAUUAAAUCAGUUAUAGUUUAUUUGAUGGUAACUUGCUACAUGGAUAACUGUGGUAAUUCUAGAGCUAAUACAUGCUGAAAAGCCCCGACUUCUGGAAGGGGUGUAUUUAUUAGAUAAAAACCAAUGGGUGCAAGCCCUUCUUGGUGAUUCAUGAUAACUUCUCGAAUCGCAU
rnacentral:rRNA from 1 species